rnacentral:rRNA from 1 species
GGCGAACGGGUGAGUAACACGUGAGUAACCUGCCCUUGACUUUGGGAUAACUUCAGGAAACUGGGGCUAAUAUCGGAUAGGAGCUCCUGCUGCAUGGUGGGGGUUGGAAAGUUUCGGCGGUUGGGGAUGGACUCGCGGCUUAUCAGCUUGUUGGUGGGGUAGUGGCUUACCAAGGCUUUGACGGGUAGCCGGCCUGAGAGGGUGACCGGCCACAUUGGGACUGAGAUACGGCCCAG